rnacentral:siRNA from 1 species
ACUGGAAUCUUCAUAUUUGUUGCC